rnacentral:rRNA from 1 species
CAAUAGCGUAUAUUAAAGUUGUUGCGGUUAAAAGCUCGUAGUUGGAUUUCUGUCUGAGGCGGCCGGUCCACUUUCUGAGUGAGCAUCUGGUCCGCUUUGGGCAUCCUCCUGGGGAACGUUUCCGCGCUUGAUUGUGUGGUACGGAAUCUAGGACUUUUACUUUGAGGAAAUUAGAGUGUUCACGGCAGGCUAUCGCCCGAAUACAUUAGCAUGGAAUAAUACUAUAGGAUCUCGAUUCUAUUUUGUUGGUUUCUAGAAGCGAGAUAAUGAUUAAUAGGGACAACUGGGGGCAUUCGUAUUAACACGUCAGAGGUGGAAUUCUUGGAUUGUGUUACGACGAACUACUGCGAAAGCAUUUGCCAAGGAUGUUUUCAUUGAUCAAGAACGAAAGUAAGGGGAUCGAAGACGAUUAGAUACCAU